CAUAGAGGAAGACAGUCGAAUUCUAUACUUGUUGGUGGUGUUGACGUGAGUGUGGUAGUACUUGAACAUGGACAGGUUUAUGAAAAGAACAGCAAGCGAACAGCCAAAGCCUGAUGAGAAUCAAAAGAAGAGGAGGCGUGAUGUUUCUAUAGUUUGGGAUAAUUGGGAAAAAACGCAUGGGAUAUGGAAUUACUGUGGUAAGCCAAUAAAGACGUGUGGAAACACAAUAAAUCUAAUGGACCACUUAAAGCACGUUUAUGCUGAUCGGCUUAAAGUUGGGGGAACUGCACAGAAACCAAACAUUGUUGUAAAGUCAUGAACAUGAUUGCUGUUGAUGUUCAACCUUUUCCUUGUGUGGAGGAAGACGGAUUUAAAGAGCUCAUGAAAGAAAUGGAUCCCCGCUACAGGUUACCUAGUAGGUCACACCUGCGCGACGUAGUGCUUCCAUCUCAAUAUGAGUUUCGUAAGAAUAGACUCCAGUCUGCACUUAAAGAUAUUGAUUUUGUGGUCAUAACUACUGACUUGUGGACAUCCAAAGCAAACCAAGGAUACAUUACAGUUACGUGCCAUUUUGUUUUAAAUAGUUUUACGUUUGUUGGACAAACGAAUUUAUUACAUUAGCUUUGGUAUCUUCUCGUGGUGCUCCAUUGCCGUUUUCAGCAGCAAAAGUGGAUAUUUUAUAUGAUAUAUCCGAGUUGCUAUCCCCCUUCGAAGAGGCGACGCUUUCUGUGUCUA